CCGUUGUAGAUGAAACAUUUGCAGCUUGUGUGUCGUCAUUAACCUCCGCGUUUAACUGUACAGGCCACAUAGUAGGUGGUGCUUGUUUACCUGAUAGUAUACCAUACUGUUUAACUAAUGGAGAAAUUGUCCUGGGGUCCUGCGAUGCCAAAGCUAAAGUUUGUGAAGAUGGGGAAGAAGUAGAUGUAACAGGUGUAUCUUGUGCUGAUCCUUUUGAUUGUAAUUUCUUUAAUCCCGAUGAGAUAUGCCGUCCUGAUAUGGUGCCAUACUGUUUAAAAAGUGGUGAAACAAUAAACGGUAUAUGUGAAACAAAAAAGGCCAUUUGUGGGGAAGGGAAAGAACUGGAUUCUACUGGAGAUUCAUGUAAAGACAAUGGUGCUAGAACAUUGAGCCUUUCCGUUAUAUUGGUAUUCACUAUUUCCUGUUUCAGGUUAUUUGAAAUGUAAAUUAUCUAUAUUUCGAAUUUGCGAUUUUAAGAAAUAACGAAAUUAUAAGCAUUUGUAUUUAUUUUGUAUAAGAAUCCGUUCAAUAUUUUUUGUACUCUAUUAUGCCUAUGACCUCGAACCUUGUUUAUUAAAAAAAAUGAAGGCUACAUUAGGCACCUUUUUGUACUGAUAACAAAAAGAUAAAUGGAACUUAUUAUAAUACUGUAAGUGAAUUUAGAUUUAGUUAGAUAAUGGUUUAUUUCUAUAAUGGCAUU